rnacentral:rRNA from 1 species
AACAGGAUUAGAUACCCUGGUAGUCCACGCCCUAAACGAUGUCUACUAGUUGUCGGGUCUUAAUUGACUUGGUAACGCAGCUAACGCGUGAAGUAGACCGCCUGGGGAGUACGGUCGCAAGAUUAAAACUCAAAGGAAUUGACGGGGACCCGCACAAGCGGUGGAUGAUGUGGAUUAAUUCGAUGCAACGCGAAAAACCUUACCUACCCUUGACAUGUCAGGAAUCCUUGAGAGAUCGAGGAGUGCCCGAAAGGGAGCCUGAACACAGGUGCUGCAUGGCUGUCGUCAGCUCGUGUCGUGAGAUGCUGGGUUAAGUCCCGCAACGAGCGCAACCCUUGUCAUUAGUUGCUACGAAAGGGCACUCUAAUGAGACUGCCGGUGACAAACCAGAGGAAGGUGGGGAUGACGUCAAGUCCUCAUGGCCCUUAUGGGUAGGGCUUCACACGUCAUACAAUGGUACAUACAGAGGGCCGCCAACCCGCGAGGGGGAGCUAAUCCCAGAAAGUGUAUCGUAGUCCGGAUCGCAGUCUGCAACUCGACUGCGUGAAGUUGGAAUCGCUAGUAAUCGCGGAUCAGCAUGCCGCGGUGAAUACGUUCCCGGGUCUUGUACACACCGCCCGUCACACCAUGGGAGCGGGUUUUACCAGAAGUAGGUAGCUUAACCGCAAGGAGGGCGCUUACCACGGUAGGAUUCGUGACUGGGGUGAAGUCGUAACAAGGUAACC